rnacentral:rRNA from 1 species
UACGUAGGGGGCAAGCGUUGUCCGGAAUCAUUGGGCGUAAAGAGCGUGUAGGCGGUCCGGUCAGUCGGUUGUGAAAGUCAAGGGCUCAACCCUUGAAUGCCGGCCGAUACUGCCGGGCUAGAGUCCGGAAGAGGUGAGUGGAAUUCCUGGUGUAGCGGUGAAAUGCGCAGAUAUCGGGAGGAACACCAAUGGCGAAGGCAGCUCGCUGGGACGGUACUGACGCUGAGACGCGAAAGCGUGGGGAGCAAACAGG